UACGUAGGGUGCAAGCGUUAAUCGGAAUUACUGGGCGUAAAGCGUGCGCAGGCGGCUAUGCAAGUCAGAUGUGAAAUCCCCGGGCUCAACCUGGGAACUGCAUUUGUGACUGCAUGGCUAGAGUACGGUAGAGGGGGAUGGAAUUCCGCGUGUAGCAGUGAAAUGCGUAGAUAUGCGGAGGAACACCGAUGGCGAAGGCAAUUCCCUGGACCUGUACUGACGCUCAUGCACGAAAGCGUGGGGAGCAAACAGG
rnacentral:rRNA from 1 species